rnacentral:rRNA from 1 species
AUGGACACGGGGAGGGAGCAGGCGAAGCGUGUCGUUCGUAAUGGAAAGAAAGACACCACUACUUCGCCUCUUUGUUGGACCACCGGCGCGAACAUGGUGGUCUCUGACCAGGACCAGGAACCAAUUCGAAUUUGGAUCUUGACAUGUUGGUUGUUUUUAACCGUAGGCAUCUCGCCAGGAAGUUGGUGGGCUCAUCAUGAAUUAGGUCGGGGUGGCUGGUGGUUUCGGGAUCCCGUAGAAAAUGCGUCUUUUAUGCCUCGGGUAUUAGCCACAACUCGUAUUCAUUCAGUAAUCCUACCCCUUCUUCAUUCUUGGACCUCGCUUCUGAAUAUUUUGACUCUUCCAUCCUGUGUCUUAGGAACCUUUUCAAUACGGUCCAGAUUGCUAGCUCCCGUUCAUAGUUCCGCUACAGACGAUACACGAGGAAGAUUUUUAUGGCGGUUCUUCCAUCUAAUUAUAGGCAUAUCUAUGACUCUUUUUACCAGAUGA